CCCUGGUUAGCUCAGUUGGUAGAGCGCUCCACCGGUAAUGGAGAGGUCCCGGGUUCGAUACCCGGACCAGGCG
rnacentral:tRNA from 1 species